UAUUUGUUUUUUUUUAAAGUUUAUCCUGUACAGACUAAUUGGGCUACCCCCUGAAGAUUUCAGGGAAUGGCAGGUCAGCCUGGGGACUUUAGCUCCCAAAAUCCGGGCUUAGGUUUUACCAAGGGUGUUUGCAACGACUUUUUUGUACCAAGCAAUUAACUAUGGCGUUAGCACUUUGCAACCGGGUGUUGUAAACAGCCGGGCUACCUGAGUGGUGCCCUUGAUUUUACCAUUGGUUUAUCAGGCUGCAGUCUCUGCCAGAUCUGAACUAGAUAGGACUACUGUCGAGACUGCGUUAAUAUUGUAAAACCCAAGGCUGCUUUUUGCACCAGCCGUCAGGGGAAAUCCAAUGGAGUGCAUUCCAGGGAGUCCGCAGGAGCUGUGCUUGCAUGCGGACUGCAGAAUCGGAUCCUCGAGUUGUGAGGAGACAGAGCAAUCAUUUAAAAUAUCGAGCCAGCUGCCACCAUUUCCUUACCCACAGAGCGUGUGCGCGCGGGGGCUUUUCUACAGUCCGAUGCAAGAGCUCUGGGUAGUGAAAUCACAGCUUGCGAAACGACAGGUUUGGGUUUGCAGCAGCGGGAUAGACGGUGACAGCAAGAGAGCCCAGAGGCGGCUCCUAAGGAAUCUGAGCCUUUGCUCUCCUUGUAGCAGUCAAACGAUGUGAAACGAGGAAUUUUCUCACUCCAGCUUGGCCCAAGCAUACAUAUCUUUGCUUUAACGAGGAACGAGGACGAGGAACCCCAAACCCGCCCUGAAAUCAAAGAGGGGUUCGCCUUAUAGAAGGAUUGGGUCCCGACGACUCGAUCCUGGGAGAUGCCGAACACCCCUUUCUUCAGGCUAGUGCAUUCAGGGGUUGUGCUCCAAAUGCCUAAGACUGUACCUUUGUGCUCAGAUGAACAGCCCUAAUUCAAUGGGAGAACGACCGAAUUACUCGCUUGGGUGGGGAUUCAAGCGUUGUAGGAAAAAUUUAAGAAGCGGGAGUGGGGCAGGGAGUGACUGUAGCUGAUUAGUACCUGCUGACAGCCUGGUGCUCUGUGUUUGCGGCGUGACUCAGUGCGUUGGCGGGUGCACCUAAAGUUAAACGCACUAGUCACGAGCGGGCUGUAGCGGUUAGAUUGGACCCUGGGCGAGGAAGGUUGAGGCAAGUCCCGUUUGAAUGACAAUGUUGGCAAACGCGGGUGAGCUCUGGAGAACUCGGGGCCUGAUCCUGCUUUUCGGCACAUGCUUUCUGCCCGCACCCAGCAUCCCUGCUCUGGAAGGGUAGGCUUGGCUGCGCAGAGGCCCGUUGCUUUGUCUUUCUGCCCUUCUUGCCCGACCUGAAACCAGGAGAGGGACUUGACCCUUUAGUUCACCCCCCUGGUGAUCCAUCCUGUGUUUAAAUCUGAGCUGAUGCUCUAAAUAGCCUUCCGAGUGUAAUUCAUUGAGGAAACGUCUCUCAGCGACAGCCUGUGAAGAUUUUUUUAAACUGUUGUGUAAGAACCUUUAAUUCUUUCUGACAUAAAACGCAAGCGAGUGGGGCGACACUUGGCAGUUUUUGAAGAACUUCCUUUUGGUCACAAUACAAACGAAGGCUUUGAUCCUCCAGUUCUGUCAGUGGGAACGGGAGAGGCCCAUCGGCGUCAGCAGGAUUUUUGUCUGAGCCGAAUCGAGAGCAAACUCCCACGUCAGGUUAUUCGCCCUAUGCACCCUCUUAGAUGUGGAAGCUUUGGACCCGUCUUACAAGCCUUACUCACGUGAGUAAAUCUGAUAGCUAGUCCUGCCUUGAUAAAGGUUUGCAACAGCUGUUGGGUCGGGGCACUUAGCACGGCUGUGCGCCAUGCAUUCUGGAACUGGAUAGUAACUGCCGGUUGGUUCAUUGGGAUUUGAUGUCACAAGGAAAUAAAGGGAAUGGCUAGCACCUCACUUACACAGUAUGCCAAUCCCAUAGUCUCGAAUGUAUGCGGCAGCCUUUUUUUCUCCCCCUCGCAAAGGACUGAUAGGUAAGAAGUCAAGUGAGUCCUGUAUCUGUGCAAACCGGCGGUAACUCGGCUUGUGUCUGGCAAACGUGAGCGAGGCUGGGAGCCAGAGGAGGGUUUAUUUUCCGGGCAUGAUCUGAACUUCACCUCCACACACUAUUUGUCUCCUCCUCGAACGUGCCCUCGGAACCAGGCGAAGUUUUGCCGGAGGAGCGACAGAAUUUUACCCCGGCUGCGCGCUAACGCCUCUGGAAAGCGGCAACCUGUCACUCCGCUCGCCCCUCGCCCCCGGCCUGCCUCGGCCGCUUUCUGGGCUCCUCCGCUGUGCAAAGCCAAUGCUGCCCUCUGCCCGCAGCAAACAGCCACUGCACGGGGCCCGGCGCUCCGGCGGCGGAUCUGCUGCCACGACUGGCGCGUGGGCUGAGCAGUGACUCGCUCACGUGUCACCCCUCCGGCCCGGCCCGCUGGCCGGCCCCGGCGCUCACAGGCCCGGGCGCGGCAGAGACAGGUUCAGAGCCGCAGCCCGCGCAAAGCUUCCUGGCGCCAGCCCGCCGUGCCCAGCGCCGAGUGGGUGCCGGAACUACUUCCGGGCCCGUGCUCCGCGAGUCCCCCGGCCUCACCGAGAGAGCGCGGCUCGCUUCUGUUCAGCGCACACCGGGGAGAAGCGUUCGCGGGGACCCGGCCCCUGUCUUCCGCAAGGGAGCGGGGCGGACACAAACAGCGCAGGCAAGUGUGACAGUGGCUUUGCCCAGCCUGGGGACUUGCUCCAGGCCCAGCCUUCCAGAGGAACACUUCUCCUUUGCCUUGCUUCACUAUGAUCCUCAUUUUUCACCCUGGAUUCUGAGCUGUCUAUGGGUGGUUUUGUUUUCCGGAAGUUUCUGUGAGAUUGGAGAGAUCAUUUUCCAACAGCAAAAGAAUGAAUUGUCACCCAUUAUUGGACAUGGACACAUCUGCUUACAAACAGUUUUGAUAAGAAAAUAUUGAGGAAUACCAUGAUUGAUGAAAAUUUCUUCUAGACUACGUGGUGAGGUCUCUACUACAUCUUGAAACUUCUGGAUCACUUGGGAUGUUGUCUUGUACAUUGUUGCAGUAGUCCUCUCUUGUUUUUAAUUUCACCUUCACUUCUUUCACACAGCCUUCUUUUCUCUUUGAUAAAAGAUACUUUAUAGUGUUAAGUGGCAAUAAUGAGCCAUGCUUAUUAUAUCCUCUCUGACACUAUGUUGUCUGUCUCACACACUUUUUCUUUUAUCUCUUUAUAUAAAAAGUUUUCUUGCCAUGCAACAGUAUGAUGUCAUCAGGUUCUCUGGCUGUGAAAGGGUCCACAGAGAGGGGGGUUGGUGAGUGUAACGAGCAGGGGGUGCAGCUCCCUGCUCAUAUGUAAUGUCUUCACCCUAACCCUUUGCCAUUGUAUCAAGUACUGCAUCUAUGUUUGCAUUUUAAUAUUGUGACUUUUUAAGAUGAGAUUUUUAAAAAUGAUCAGUUGGCCUAACUCUGUUCACAUUGAUUGCUCUUGAAAAUUGUACCCAUAAAAGUAAUCAAUUAUACACAACAAAUCAAUAUGUAAAGCAAACUGUGUUUACUUAACAAAAGUUUUAAGUAGUAAAUAGUUUGAUGGAUAAUUCUGCCAGUAAAAACAUGCAUGUGAUAAAGAGGUUUUAAAAAUAAUCCU